UUAGUUAACUCAAUUUUUAACAAGGUAUUGUUAUCUUAAUGCAGUUAAGAGGUAAGGUAUGAUUGUCACACAUUUCUUAUUAAUUUGCACUCAGGCGAAUGAGAUGUUACUCGUUGGAAAAGAAACUGACUGCGGUCGAAGCUUGUAACUACGGUUUGGUAACAGAAGUUAUUCCUCAAGCCGAAAUUGAAAAAGAAAUUAACAACAGAAUGAAAUACAUGGCUGCGUUGCCGCCGAAGUCGCUCUCAUUGUCCAAGAAAUUAUGUUGCUCAGUUGAGCUGGAGAAACUUCACGAUGUGAAUAAUAAAGAAUGCGAAGUGCUUGCUCAAAAUGGCUCUCGGAGGAAUGCGCGCAAGCAGUGAUGACUUUUACAACGCAAAUCAAAAAUGUAGUUGAAACAUUAAGUUGAUUCUUGUUUAUGAAAUGUUCGAUGCAUUUUC